CCUACGGGAGGCUGCAGUGAGGAAUAUUGGUCAAUGGACGCAAGUCUGAACCAGCCAUGCCGCGUGCAGGAUGACGGCUCUAUGAGUUGUAAACUGCUUUUGUACGGGGGUAAACCCCGAUACGUGUAACGGGUUGAAAGUAUCGUACGAAUAAGGAUCGGGUAACUCCGUGCCAGCAGCCGCGGUAAUACGGAGGAUCCGGUCGUUAUUCGGAUUUAUUGGGUUUAAAGGGUGUGUAGGCGGUUUGAUAAGUUAGAGGUGAAAUGUCGGGGCUCAACCCCGGAACUGCCUCUAAUACUGUUGGACUAGAGAAUAGUAGCGGGAGGCAGAAUGUAUGGUGUAGCGGUGAAAUGCUUAGAGAUCAGACAGAAUACCGAUUGCGAAGGCAGCUUACCAAACUAUAUCUGACGUUGAGGUACGAAAGCGUGGGUAGCAAACAGGAUUAGAUACCCGAGUAGUC
rnacentral:rRNA from 1 species